AUAAUGAUGAUAAGAAUUAUAGCUCAAAUGGCAUAGUCUCCCCAUACUCAUUUAAGAAGUCGUGGGUUCGA